rnacentral:rRNA from 1 species
GACGAACGCUGGCGGCGUGCUUAACACAUGCAAGUCGAACGGAAAGGCCCUGCUUUUGUUGGGUGCUCGAGUGGCGAACGGGUGAGUAACACGUGAGUAACCUGCCCUUGACUUUGGGAUAACUUCAGGAAACUGGGGCUAAUACCGGAUAGGAGCUCCUGCUGCAUGGUGGGGGUUGGAAAGUUUCGGCGGUUGGGGAUGGACUCGCGGCUUAUCAGCUUGUUGGUGGGGUAGUGGCUUACCAAGGCUUUGACGGGUAGCCGGCCUGAGAGGGUGACCGGCCACAUUGGGACUGAGAUACGGCCCAGACUCCUACGGGAGGAAGAAGUGGGGAAUAUUGCAAAAUGGGCGGAAGCCUGAUGCAGCAACGCCGCGUGCGGGAUGACGGCCUUCGGGUUGUAAACCGCUUUCGCCUGUGACGAAGAGUGAGUGACGGUAAUGGGUAAAGAAGGACCGGCUAACUACGUG